rnacentral:lncRNA from 1 species
CUGUCACCGCCUCCCCCCAGGGCGCUGCUCCCGGAGCUGCCGUGGUGUCCCCCAGGCAGGUGACACGCACCUGUGCCUGCCUGACGGGCCCGGGGCCUGUGGCCAUCACCGUGUCACCGCCUCGUUUGCGGUACUACCGAGCAGGUGGCACGGCGAGCCGUAUCCCCAAAUAAUGCCUCAACGCGAUGUGCCAGUCUGUCAGCACAGGGCACAACAUUAUCCUUACAAAUAAAAGGCUGUCAAAGCGUUUUCAGACCCUGUGCCAAGCCUUGCGGCACUGAGAUGAGGAUGGCUUAUGGACUGCAUGUCAAAGGUUUUCAUGGAUUUUUCAAGCAGAAGCACUGAAUGGUAAAUGCUAAUUGGCUCUGCCAGUGAAUAUACACCGAACCCUAAGUUUCACAAAUGACCUGGGUUGCAAAGUACCUCCAUACUGAGCAACACAAUUGUUAGAUAUCUGAAUUAGAAAGAAGCUGAUUUUCACUCCAGUUCCCACUGAAAUCAAGUGGAUUGCAAUCUGAAAUCUGAAAAUGUUUGACUACCUCCAUGCACACAUUGCAAUAAUAAAAGGGGGACCUAUCCCUUAAAUUAACA